CCUACGGGGGGCUGCAGUGGGGAAUAUUGGACAAUGGGGGGAACCCUGAUCCAGCCAUGCCGCGUGUGUGAAGAAGGCCCUCGGGUUGUAAAGCACUUUCAGUGAGGAAGAACGCCUGGUGGUUAAUACCCAUCAGGAAAGACAUCACUCACAGAAGAAGCACCGGCUAACUCCGUGCCAGCAGCCGCGGUAAUACGGAGGGUGCGAGCGUUAAUCGGAAUUACUGGGCGUAAAGCGCGCGUAGGUGGCUUGAUAAGCCGGUUGUGGAAGCCCCGGGCUCAACCUGGGAACGGCAUCCGGAACUGUCAAGCUAGAGUGCAGGAGAGGAAGGUAGAAUUCCCGGUGUAGCGGUGAAAUGCGUAGAGAUCGGGAGGAAUACCAGUGGCGAAGGCGGCCUUCUGGACUGACACUGACACUGAGGUGCGAAAGCGUGGGUAGCAAACAGGAUUAGAUACCCUGGUAGUC
rnacentral:rRNA from 1 species